AUUGAACGCUGGCGGCAUGCUUUACACACGCAAGUCGAACGGUAACAGGCCGCAAGGUGCUGACGAGUGGCGAACGGGUGAGUAAUACAUCGGAACGUGCCCGAGAGUGGGGGAUAACGAGGCGAAAGCUUUGCUAAUACCGCAUACGAUCUCAGGAUGAAAGCAGGGGACCGCAAGGCCUUGCGCUCACGGAGCGGCCGAUGGCAGAUUAGGUAGUUGGUGGGAUAAAAGCUUACCAAGCCGACGAUCUGUAGCUGGUCUGAGAGGACGACCAGCCACACUGGGACUGAGACACGGCCCAGACUCCUACGGGAGGCAGCAGUGGGGAAUUUUGGACAAUGGGCGCAAGCCUGAUCCAGCCAUGCCGCGUGCAGGAUGAAGGCCUUCGGGUUGUAAACUGCUUUUGUACGGAACGAAAAGACUCCUUCUAAUAAAGGGGGUCCAUGACGGUACCGUAAGAAUAAGCACCGGCUAACUACGUGCCAGCAGCCGCCGUAACAC
rnacentral:rRNA from 1 species